rnacentral:rRNA from 1 species
CUAGCGGCAGGCUUAACACAUGCAAGUCGAGGGGUAUAGUUCUUCGGAACUAGAGACCGGCGCACGGGUGCGUAACGCGUAUGCAAUCUACCUUUUACAGAGGGAUAGCCCAGAGAAAUUUGGAUUAAUACCUCAUAGUAUAGCGACAUCGCAUGAUGAUGCUAUUAAAGUCACAACGGUAAAAGAUGAGCAUGCGUCCCAUUAGCUAGUUGGUAAGGUAACGGCUUACCAAGGCUACGAUGGGUAGGGGUCCUGAGAGGGAGAUCCCCCACACUGGUACUGAGACACGGACCAGACUCCUACGGGAGGCAGCAGUGAGGAAUAUUGGACAAUGGGCGCAAGCCUGAUCCAGCCAUGCCGCGUGCAGGAUGACGGUCCUAUGGAUUGUAAACUGCUUUUAUACGAGAAGAAACACUGAUUCGUGAAUCAGCUUGACGGUAUCGUAAGAAUAAGGAUCGGCUAACUCCGUGCCAGCAGCCGCGGUAAUACGGAGGAUCCAAGCGUUAUCCGGAAUCAUUGGGUUUAAAGGGUCCGUAGGCGGUUUAGUAAGUCAGUGGUGAAAGCCCAUCGCUCAACGGUGGAACGGCCAUUGAUACUGCUGAACUUGAAUUAUUAGGAAGUAACUAGAAUAUGUAGUGUAGCGGUGAAAUGCUUAGAGAUUACAUGGAAUACCAAUUGCGAAGGCAGGUUACUACUAAUGGAUUGACGCUGAUGGACGAAAGCGUGGGUAG